rnacentral:rRNA from 1 species
AGAGUUGAUCCUGGCUUAGGAUGAACGCUAGCGACAGGCUAACACAUGCAAGUCGAGGGGCAGCACGGGAGUAGCAAUACAACUGGUGGCGACCGGCGCACGGGUGAGUAACGCGUAUGCAACCUACCUAUCAGGAGGGGAAUAACCCGGCGAAAGUCGGACUAAUACCGCAUAAAACAGGGGCACCGCAUGGUGAUAUUUGUUAAAGAAAUUCGCUGAUAGAUGGGCAUGCGUUCCAUUAGGUAGUUGGUGAGGUAACGGCUCACCAAGCCGACGAUGGAUAGGGGAACUGAGAGGUUGGUCCCCCACACUGGUACUGAGACACGGACCAGACUCCUACGGGAGGCAGCAGUGAGGAAUAUUGGUCAAUGGGCGAGAGCCUGAACCAGCCAAGUCGCGUGAAGGAAGAAGGAUCUAUGGUUCGUAAACUUCUUUUGCAGGGGAAUAAAGUGCGGGACGUGUCCUGUUUUGUAUGUACCCUGAGAAUAAGGAUCGGCUAACUCCGUGCCAGCCGCAGC